ACUUACUCCGUGAAUCGGAG
rnacentral:snRNA from 1 species